GAUGAAGAACGUAGCAAAAUGCGAUAAGUAAUGUGAAUUGCAGAAUUCAGUGAAUCAUCGAAUCUUUGAACGCACAUUGCGCCCGCUGGUAUUCCGGCGGGCAUGCCUGUUCGAGCGUCAUUUCAACCCUCAAGCCCCCGGGUUUGGUGUUGGGGAUCGGCUCUGCCCUUCUGGGCGGUGCCGCCCCCGAAAUACAUUGGCGGUCUCGCUGCAGCCUCCAUUGCGUAGUAGCUAACACCUCGCAACUGGAACGCGGCGCGGCCAUGCCGUAAAACCCCAACUUCUGAAUGUUGACCUCGGAUCAGGUAGGAAUACCCGCUGAACUUAAGCAUAUCGAUAAGCGGAGGA
rnacentral:misc_RNA from 1 species